GCCCAGGUAGCUCAGUCGGUAGAGCAGAGGACUGAAAAUCCUCGUGUCGGUGGUUCGAUUCCGCCCCUGGGCA
rfam:Acidiferrobacter thiooxydans strain ZJ Contig_191, whole genome shotgun sequence.